rnacentral:rRNA from 1 species
UACGUAGGGGGCUAGCGUUGUCCGGAAUCAUUGGGCGUAAAGAGCGUGUAGGCGGCCCGGUAAGUCCGCUGUGAAAGUCGGGGGCUCAACCCUCGAAUGCCGGUGGAUACUGUCGGGCUAGAGUGCGGAAGAGGCGAGUGGAAUUCCUGGUGUAGCGGUGAAAUGCGCAGAUAUCAGGAGGAACACCGGUGGCGAAGGCGGGAUCCUGGGCCAGUACUGACGCUGAGGAGCGAAAGCGUGGGGAGCAAACAGG